rnacentral:rRNA from 1 species
AGAACUUAGCAGAGAUGCUUGGUGCCUUCGGGAACUCUGAGACAGGUGCUGCAUGGCUGUCGUCAGCUCGUGUUGUGAAAUGUUGGGUUAAGUCCCGCAACGAGCGCAACCCUUAUCCUUUGUUGCCAGCGGGUUAUGCCGGGAACUCAAAGGAGACUGCCAGUGAUAAACUGGAGGAAGGUGGGGAUGACGUCAAGUCAUCAUGGCCCUUACGAGUAGGGCUACACACGUGCUACAAUGGCGCAUACAAAGAGAAGCGACCUCGCGAGAGCAAGCGGACCUCAUAAAGUGCGUCGUAGUCCGGAUUGGAGUCUGCAACUCGACUCCAUGAAGUCGGAAUCGCUAGUAAUCGUAGAUCAGAAUGCUACGGUGAAUACGUUCCCGGGCCUUGUACACACCGCCCGUCACACCAUGGGAGUGGGUUGCAAAAGAAGUAGGUAGCUUAACCUUCGGGAGGGCGCUUACCACUUUGUGAUUCAUGACUGGGGUGAAGUCGUAACAAGGUAAGCGUAGUGCU